GAGCUUGGCUAGAGGGAGGUUGAUGCAGAUGACUCCCUGCACCUGAGAACUCAUUUACACCAGGCACGUUGACCAGUUAUGAGUCUCUGCAUUGACGGUCACCCACUGCAAAAAGAAGCUCCUCCAGCCAAGGCUGAGAGCGGUAUGGAUCUUCUCUGUGGGACUGGGGCAUCUGGCCCCGCAAACUCCUAGUUAGCUUUUUGAGAUAGGGUCUCAUUCUGCAUCCUAUGUGGCUUGGAAUUCAUUCUAUAGCCCCUGCUUACCUGGAACUCCUGGUGAUCCUCCUGCCUCCAUCUCCUAAGUGCUACUACGACUGAGGGUAAAAUCUAAAAUCUAAUCAUGCAAAGUUAAAAGUUUGUUGGACUUGUUCUAUUGUUUGUAGAAAAAACAAGGGUGGGAAGAUUAAAGAAAUAGCCAAGAAGCUUGGAUGGAAGUACACAUUUUGUGGGCUGCAGAAAAUGUCUUCAUUUUAAUCCACAGAAGUAGCAAAGACCAUGUUUAUUACUGUUGGUAUAAAGGCAAAUAUACUAUUACAAGGAAAACAUCUUUGCUAGUCUAUACCUUUUUUUGUUUUGUCCUGAUUUCAUAAGUCAAAACAUUUUUGUGCACCUUAUAAUUAUUUUGGAGGGUAUCCAGGCCUAAGUUAUUCUAUAGCAAAUCACAUGUGUAUAUAUUAUUUAUAUUUUAUGUUAUAUAAUUCUAAAAAUAUAAUGUAACGUAAUACUUAUUUGUAAUUAUUAUAUAUUUGCUUUUUAUUUCAUCUUUAUGUGUAGGAGUGUUUUGCCUGCUUGUAUGUGCACCCAUUGCCGGCCCCAGAGAAGGGCAUCUGUUCUCAUCACUUAGGACCGAAGUUUCAGACAGAUGUGAACUGCAAUGUGGCGCUAGAAAAUUAACUCUGGGUCCUCUGGAAGAUCAGUAAGUGUUCCUAACUGCUGAGCUCUCGCUCCAGCGUCAGACUUGUGUUUCUUACACUCAAGAGUAACUUAGCAUUUAUGUCCUUUCACGAAUAAAGCAUGGUAUAUUGCUGAAGUCUGAAAUCUGGGUUACGAAUUCUGCCAGGAUCUGUAUCAUCAGGGACAAGGAACUGCGGGUAGUUUCUAUCAUUUCCCCUCAUUUCUGAAAAUUUCAGUUAGCUAUCAAGAGUCUUGUUUAAAAAAAAACUAUCAUAAAUGUGUUACUUUAAAAACCAUGCAUACAUAUAGUGCUUCUAGUUUGAAACCACUUUCUGCAACUUUGAUUUUGAUAGAAACCUUUGACGAAAUGAAAAAAAAGGGGGGGGGGAGAAAAUAACGGUCAGCUUCAACUGCCGCUUCCUGAUUGGCUAAAGCCCCUCUAACGGUCAUCUGCUGCCUUAUAAACCACACCCCCUUUUCUGGAACGUUCCUUAGAGCUUUACCCUCGUGCUUCAGGCGCUGGCUUCUCAUUCUGCGUUAAGGUUCUCCAGGGUAGGAAGGUCUCUGACCCACCUGCCACCUCUAAGAGCCUUGUUCUUUUCUGUGGCGUUGGCAAUGGAACCCAGUGUUACAGUGUGACAGGUGAGUGCUCCUGAGUUACUUUCUUGCACACUUUCCU
rnacentral:lncRNA from 1 species